CAUUAUCAGUGAAAGAAGCCAGACACCAAAGGCCAAAUAUUGUGUGAGUCCAUAUCUACAGGCAAAUCCAUAGACACAGAAAAGAGAUGAAUGAUUCCCGGAGGCUGGCUGGGAAGGAAGGAGGAGUGACAAGUGACUUCUUAGUGGGAAACAGCCCAAAUGAUCAUCAACAGAUGAACGAAUCAACAAAUUGUGCUCCAUCCAUGCAGUGGAAUACUACUCAGCUGUAAAGAGGAAGGAACACCUGAUUGACAGAACUUGAUGGAUCUCUAAAGCAUGAGGGGAAGUAAAGGAAGCCAGACUCAAAAGGAAGCUGCAAUCAUGGUGUUGGCCAGGCUCAUCUGGAGGCUCUCCUGAGGGAAAAUGCACUUUCAACCUCAUUCAAGCUGUUGGCAGAAUUCAUCCUGUGAAGGAUGAUGGGGCCCUGGUUAUUUGCUGGCUGUCGGCUGGAGGCCGCCCCUGAGGCCCUAGAGACCACUCACAGCUCCAAAGUGGCUACUUACUUCAUCAAGCCUGGGGGGAGAGGCUCUCCCACCAGUCGGCUAAGACAGACUCCUUUUUUUCUUUCAGUAAGUUGUAUCUGACCAUGAGCAUUGUUUUACAGCUGGAAAGUCCUGCAGUGAUCAUCCAGUUUAAGCUCAAGGAAAUUGAGGUCCACAAAAGUUAACAUAUUUAACCAUUGGUAGAAAAAUGAAAUUAGAAUUUAAAUUAAUUGAUUCCUAGCCCAGGGAUCUUUUUAACCACACCAAGCUACUUCCUGUAUUUGCUUCAUUGUUUAAGUGAGAAUGAUAAGCAGUGAUUACACACAAUUCAUAACAUGUGAGCAAACACUCUCCUUAAUAUUGACCAAUAUUCUGCCAUUUUGAGUAAUAUUUAGCCAGUGUAGACAAAACAAUGCCAAUAAUAAUAGUGAGUACCCUCUACUUUCUGGGCAUGCAGAAUUGUCAUUGAUCUUCACAUAAGACACAGUCUUAUACAGAUGAAUGGGUAAAUGGAUAUAUAUAUAUGCAAUGGA